AUUGAACGCUGGCGGCAUGCUUUACACAUGCAAGUCGAACGGUAACAGGCCUUCGGGUGCUGACGAGUGGCGAACGGGUGUGUAAUGCAUCGGAACGUACCCAGAGGUGGGGGAUAACGCAGCGAAAGCUGUGCUAAUACCGCAUGUGAUCUGAGGAUGAAAGCGGGGGACCGAGCAGCAAUGUUUGGCCUCGCGCCUUUGGAGCGGCCGAUGUCGGAUUAGCUAGUUGGUGGGGUAAAGGCCUACCAAGGCGACGAUCCGUAGCUGGUCUGAGAGGACGACCAGCCACACUGGGACUGAGACACGGCCCAGACUCCUACGGGAGGCAGCAGUGGGGAAUUUUGGACAAUGGGCGCAAGCCUGAUCCAGCAAUGCCGCGUGCGGGAAGAAGGCCUUCGGGUUGUAAACCGCUUUUGGCAGGAACGAAACGGUGUCCGCUAAUACCGGGCGCUAAUGACGGUACCUGCAGAAUAAGCACCGGCUAACUACGUG
rnacentral:rRNA from 1 species